rnacentral:piRNA from 1 species
CCGAGAGUAGUGGUGUUUACAACUAAUUGA